rnacentral:lncRNA from 1 species
AAUGACAAAACACUUCAAAACUGCCUAUUUUUAACCUUUAAUACGAGUAGGUCUUUAAAACCUACUUCACAAAUAUUACAAUAACACUCACCUAGUACAACCUCCUUGGCAAGGCUUCUAAUUGAACUUGUAUUUGCUCUCUCUCUCAAUUCCUUGCAAGAAGCAGCCUUGGCACCUCCAGUAUUAGGCUCUUGCAGUGAUUUACCCACAGUCGUUCUACAAGUCCGGGGU